UACAGAGGGUGCGAGCGUUAAUCGGAAUUACUGGGCGUAAAGCGCGCGUAGGCGGCUUUGCAAGUCGGGUGUGAAAUCCCCAGGCUUAACCUGGGAACUGCAUUCGAGACUGCAUUGCUAGAGUAUGGGAGAGGGAAGUGGAAUUUCCGGUGUAGCGGUGAAAUGCGUAGAUAUCGGAAGGAACAUCAGUGGCGAAAGCGACUUCCUGGGCCAAUACUGACGCUGAUGUGCGAAAGCGUGGGGAGCAAACAGG
rnacentral:rRNA from 1 species